UUCCGGUAGGUGAACCUGCGGAGGGAUCAUUACCGAGUUUACAACUCCCAAACCCCUGUGAACAUACCACUUGUUGCCUCGGCGGAUCAGCCCGCUCCCGGUAAAACGGGACGGCCCGCCAGAGGACCCCUAAACUCUGUUUCUAUAUGUAACUUCUGAGUAAAACCAUAAAUAAAUCAAAACUUUCAACAACGGAUCUCUUGGUUCUGGCAUCGAUGAAGAACGCAGCAAAAUGCGAUAAGUAAUGUGAAUUGCAGAAUUCAGUGAAUCAUCGAAUCUUUGAACGCACAUUGCGCCCGCCAGUAUUCUGGCGGGCAUGCCUGUUCGAGCGUCAUUUCAACCCUCAAGCACAGCUUGGUGUUGGGACUCGCGUUAAUUCGCGUUCCCCAAAUUGAUUGGCGGUCACGUCGAGCUUCCAUAGCGUAGUAGUAAAACCCUCGUUACUGGUAAUCGUCGCGGCCACGCCGUUAAACCCCAACUUCUGAAUGUUGACCUCGGAUCAGGUAGGAUGACGU
rnacentral:rRNA from 1 species